rfam:TPA: Bos taurus chromosome 5, whole genome shotgun sequence.
UCCCUGGUGGCUCAGACGGUAAAGCGUCUGUCUACAAUGCAGGAGACCGGGGUUCAGUCCCUGGUUUGGGAA